UCUAUAGUCCAGUGAACCUUUGAAAUGGAUUCUUCUGAAGGCCACUCCCCAAGGUCACUGAUCUCAAGCCAGUGAGCGGCUGGCAGGGUGACUGAUGCCAGAGCAAGCACCUGGACAUCAGAGUGAGCAAGGUGCCCCCACCCCCUGCAGGAUGGGAGGGACAAUUGGUUAACAGUGGCAGUGGAGACCAGGAGUGAGAAGUUUGUGGCAUGUCUGAUUGCCCAGCAAGAAAGCUAGGGAGAGGAGUUCCUUUGGAGGAGCAAGAGGGAACAUGGCCAUGAGAGGAGGCAAAGUAUCAAACACUGUCUGUCUUCUGCUAUUGAUUCGCUCCCAUGUUCCACCAGCCUCUGCCUCUGCCAGCAGAAAUCCAAAGCUGCAGGACCCUGAUGGCUUACAUUAUGCACGCACCACAG